CUAUGCAAGUGCAGCUAUCUUUUCUCAGCCUAUAAAACAACAUCCCCGUCUCUGCUUCCUGUUCCAAUCCCACAACGCCGAGAAAAGAGGAGAGCAGAGCAGAGCGGAAAAGAAAGAAAGAAACCCUUGCUAGUUGUUCUUCCAUAGUAACCCACCCUUUACAAACAAUACAAAGCCGGCCAUGUACGACGCUCCGUCGGCGCAGGAGAUGUCCUACAUGGAUCACGUGCAGAGGCGCCAUGAGGAGAAGGGCUGCAUCUACGCAUGCGUGUUCAUGGCGCUUUGCUGCUUCUGCUGCUACGAGACCUGCGAGUGCUGCCUCGACUGCCUCUGCUGCUGCUGUAACUAAACUAGCCAUGGCCGCCACUGGACAGACAGACGACGGAUAAAGGCGCGCCGAGAUCCACCACCGGCCUCUUCUGUCUUUAAUUACCCCGACAGUUUUUGAUUUUUUUAAUAAUAAACAUGUGUGUCUAGCUCUCAACUUAGCUCGAUGAGUGCUUUAUCGAUAUUGCAAUAGUAGUAUUAUCUGCCCCCGACAAGACUAUCACUGUAAUGAUCCAUCAUCGUGUUUGUUGCAUCUUUAUUUAAUUAGCAUCAGAUUAUGGUUCCCCGAAAUCAAACUACUGCGCCCUUUUUUCCUUGUAUUUUUCAUUCAUCCAUGAAAUUUUCUGAAGGUUGGAAUGGAGCA